rnacentral:misc_RNA from 1 species
GGAGAAUCCUGCCAACGAGCAGUCAUCGACGGUGCGACGCAAGGUUUUGCUGCAUACACCCACCAGCGAGGUGAUUAUGUCAUACGCCUCUCUCGAGCGCAAGCUUCUCGACCUCGGCUGGCAGCGGUAUUACGAUGAUCCCGAGCUCUUUCAGUUCCACAAGAGUUCGUCGGUGGACCUCAUCUCGCUGCCGAGGGAGUUCAGACAGUUCAGGUCGAUGCACAUGUACG